CCUUGACCAAGUUCCAGGAAGUGACCAACAACCUGGAUUUUGCAAGGGAGUUGCAGAAGAGCUUCCUGUCUUUGGGGCAAGAGAUUCAGAAGCAUUGAGUUUGUAGGAGAGAAGAGGACGACCCAUGGUCGCUAGAAUGAAGACACAGUAGCAGAAUACAAUGAAGAGAGGACGACCCAUGGUCACUAGAUAGAAGCAUGAGAACGACAGGGAAGCACGCUGACAGUCCGGUCAAAGGAGCAUGUUCUCCACGUCCGACAAGUCCUCCUCCAGCACCUUCUCGAGAAUCCAAGGCGGAGAAGUGGGGAAUUCUACUACCUCUACUACCUCUUUCUGAGAUAACGUCAUCGCUGCCGAAGACAGCGAGGAAAACGCUAAGAACUAAAAAAAGGCAAACGGUCAGUGGUCUGACUGUGGAGCAUCUCGUCUGUGUCUGAUUUUCAGCUGCUGUCGUCCUGAGUGUAUCCGUCUGCGGAUCAGUCUGAGGCCCAAAUAUGAUGCACUAUGGGCUCUGAUCAAAUGUAGUUUACUACAUAGGGAAUAGGGUGCCAUUUGCGACGCAGAUGGUGUGUCUGCAGGAGGACCAGCACCAGGG
rnacentral:lncRNA from 1 species